rnacentral:rRNA from 1 species
AUUGAACGCUGGCGGCAGGCCUAACACAUGCAAGUCGAGCGGAUGAAGGGAGCUUGCUCCUGGAUUCAGCGGCGGACGGGUGAGUAAUGCCUAUGAAUCUGCCUGGUAGUGGGGGAUAACGUCCGGAAACGGGCGCUAAUACCGCAUACGUCCUGAGGGAGAAAGUGGGGGAUCGUCGGACCUCACGCUAUCAGAUGAGCCUAGGUCGGAUUAGCUAGUUGGUGGGGUAAAGGCCUACCAAGGCGACGAUCCGUAACUGGUCUGAGAGGAUGAUCAGUCACACUGGAACUGAGACACGGUCCAGACUCCUACGGGAGGCAGCAGUGGGGAAUAUUGGACAAUGGGCGAAAGCCUGAUCCAGCCAUGCCGCGUGUGUGAAGAAGGUCUUCGGAUUGUAAAGCACUUUAAGUUGGGAGGAAGGGCAGUAAGUUAAUACCUUGCUGUUUUGACGUUACCAACAGAAUAAGCACCGGCUAACUUCGUG